rnacentral:lncRNA from 1 species
CGGCUGUCACGGUCGCUGCCCACCCGGGUUCUUCGCUGCUUCUAGUUCCGGGCGCUUUGCCGGGCGUUAAUGGCGGCCAACAUCGCCGGUGCUGCGGCUUUCUCCCUAAAGUGUCACAGGAGCUAAGGGCGCUGCUUAACGAACUGCAGAAGACGCAGGCAGGUGAAGGACACCGGUUCUGCUGCGGCAGUGGAAUGUGGCGGAGAAGCUGGCGGAACAUGAAGCAUACUGAAGUAGAGACGGCAGGAUUUUCUCAUGCAUGGAAUAUGGGAUGUGAAUGAAAACAGAAGGAUCACUUGAUGGCUGCGGACCUGAGCAACUGGAGGGAUGGAGUUGCAAUUAGGUGAAGUGAGGAAUUCAGCAGGGGAAGCAAGUUUUGGGGCAGAAGAUUUUAUCAGGGAUAUUUUAGUAAUUAAAUAGUUAGAUUAGUGUCUUAAUCACAACUCCACAUCCUUACCUGAUUUGGAGCUUCUGUCAGUCUCCCAGCUCUGAGCUGCUUCAGGCUGGGAAGCCGACAGUCGGGGAGAAGUCAUGGAUAGCUUCUGGUCCUCUUUUCCCACUGUGGCUGUCCUCCUCUUCCCCGGCCCUCACUAUGUUGUCUCCAGCUCCUCUUCUGGGACAGGAAGGGACAGAAAGAUCUUACUGACAGGUACCCCAUGAAGGUACCCCCUAGGGGAUGGAGAUCCCAGGGCUUCCCCUCCUUGAGUCCCUCAGAGAUUCCUGGUAAUGCCUCUCAUCUGACUGCCAUUUUGACCGCUCCCUGUCAUCUUUCAGGCCACCUCUCUUUUGGGAUCCCAUGGUCUUUCUAGGGAAGGAUCCAAGAGGGACCCAGGAUCCACAUUUGGUCCAUAAGAACCACCCGUACUUUGCCCUGUCCUCAGAGGGCGUGUAGUCCACAUCUAACACAGCCCUCUCUACUCUGCCACCUCUGGCCACUUUGGCCUGGAGAAUGUUUUCAGAACUCAUCUCUGUACUACACAAACUCUAAGGACCUCAAGUCAGAUUCUCCAAGGAGUUCUCUUGAGGUCCUUUCUGUUGCCUACUUAAAGUGACCUGGCAACUAACCAAACAUAUGUGUGUGUGUAUAUGUGUGCAUGUGUGUGUAUGUGUGUAUAUAGACAUACAUAUCUGUACACAUAUGUAUGUGUGUAUACAUAUACAUACACAAUACAUAUAUACAUAUACACACACAUACAAUUAACAGAAGACAUAUGGAUGGAUGGCCAUAGGAGCAUAAUAGUCAUAAUCUGGAAACAAUCCAAAUUUUAAUCAGUAAUAGAAAUGGAUAAAUAGUGGGCCUGGCACAGUGGCUCACAUCUGUAACCCUAGCACUUUGGGAGGCUGAGCUGGGAGAAUUGCUUGAGCCCAGAAGUUUAAGACCAGCCUGGGCAACAUGGCAAAACCCCAUCUCUAGCCAAAAAAACCCACAAAAAUUAGCCAGUUGUGAUGGUGCACACUUGUAGUCUCAGCUACUACUUGGGAGGCUUAGGUGGGAGGAUUGCUUGAGGCUGGUAGGUGGAGGUUGCAGUGAGCUGAGAUCCCACCACUGCCCUCCAGCCUGGGUGACACAGCAAGACCUCGUCUCAAAAAAAAAAAAAAAAAAGAAUGGAUAAAUAAUGGUAGCAUAUUUUUUAAUGCAAUUUUUUAAAAAAGAAUGAACUACUACCACAAUGUGGGUAAAUUUCACAGGCAUAUGUUAAGUCAAAGAAACAAAAUACAGGCAGGGCAUAGUGGCUCACGCCUGUAAUCCCAGCACUUUGGGAGGCUGAGGCGGGCGGAUCACAAGGUCAGGAGAUCAGGACCAUCCUGGCUAACACGGUGAAACCCCAUCUCUACUAAAAAUACAAAAAAUUAGCUGGGCAUGGUGGCAUGCGCCUGUAAUCCCAGCUACUUGGGAGGCUGAGGCAGGAGAAUCACUUGAACCCGGGAGGUGCAGGUUGUAGUCAGCUGAGAUUGCGCCACUGCACUCCAGCCUGGGCGACAGAGCGAGACUCCAUCUCAAAAAAAAAAAAAAAAAAAAAAAAGAAAAAGAAAAGAAACAAAAUACAAAAGAAUGCAUACAGUUUGAUUCCAUUUAUAUGACUUUCAACAACAGGCAAAACUAAUCUAUGCUGUUAGAAGUCAAGAUAGUAGGGUAAGUAGUGAGUGGACAAGAGGGAGGUUUUGGGGAGAUCUACUGGAAUAUGCUCUAACUUAAUCUGGGUGAUGAUUACAUUUGUUACGUAAUGGGCUUAUACAUUUCUACAGUUUCAUCUAGCUCUACAGUUGAGAUGUGUGCAUUUUAUUACAUAUAUGUUUACUAAGAAAGUGAAAAGACAAUUCACGGAGAAAUUUUUCUCCCUAUUAUUCAUACAUUGCAUUUUCAUCAUUUGAUAACAUGAGUUGGGGAUUAUUUACAAAGAAUGCUUUAGUUGUGAGGACAUUCUAAGCCUAAAACUGGCAGAGACAUUUCAAAAAUGAAAAUGUUAUGUCUAAGGAAAAACAGCCCUCUUCCUUUGCUGCCUGUGACCGCUGUUACCACACUUCUCAGGUUCUCCUAAGCGAGCAGCGUGGCUUCCUGGGCUUCUACCAGAAUUUACCAGCAGGGGUCAGCCCUGUACAAAACCCAGGCGCUUGAGCCUCCCGUGAAUUGGAACUUGCUCUCUGGUUCUGUCAAGCCAUUCUGGCCUUUUAGCUUUCUCACUUCACAUUCCCAGCUACACUUCCUUCUGCUCUGUUACCACCACCCACUCCCGUGAUCACAACAUGGACCAGAAACUUCACAGCCUUCCUCACUCAUUCAAACACGCUCUCCUCUCCUUCCGUGCUCUCAAGUAACCCCCGCAGCAACAGUCCUUUCAGCUUAGCAAGCUCUUCAGUCCAAGCCCUGCUGCUUUCUCUCCAUCCUGCAGUCCCCUCCUCUCUUCACUCUCCCCUUUUCAACCCAGACAUCACGGGUCAUCAAUGAAAUCACUUUUGCAAACACCUCCAACUCUUUGACCAUUCUAGGCCUCAGCUCCUAACCCCUUAGGAUUUUCUGGCCGGGCGCGGUGGCUCACGUCUGUAAUCCCAGCACUUUGGGAGGCCGAGGUGGGCGGAUCAUUUGAGGUCAGGGGUUCCAGACCAGCCUGGCCAACAUGGUGAACCCCGUCUCUGCUAAAAAUACAAAAAUUAGCUGGGUGCGGUGGUGGGCGCCUGCAAUCCCAGCUACUUGGGAGACAGGGGAAUCGCUUGAACCCAGGAGGCAGACGUUGCAGUGAGCCGAGAUUGCGCCACUGCAGCACUGCCGCUUGGGCAACAAGAGUAGAAAAAAAAAAAAGUUAAAAAAAAAAAAAGGAUUUUCUGUUGCACUUGGGAUAAAGUACAAAGCCCAAUACAGAGCCCCCAAGGCCCUGAGUGACCCAACCUUGGGCUGGUAUCUCUCCCACCAUGACUCAUGCACAGCACUCCCCUCUCCAUGUUUUCCACUCUUCCCUCUCCCAGUGGAGAAAAAGUCAUUUCCUCCAAGUCCACUCUCUCAUUCUCUUUCCUAACAAGGGGUUUAUUUCCUUCAAGACACAAUAUAAAACUUUAUCAUAUUUGUAUAAUUGCGUAUUUAAUGUUUGUCUUCCGCUUGGGGCUGUGCACUCAACAGAAGCAGUGCCAAGCACUUGCUAGGUUCAUAGAAGACACUUAAGUGUUUGUUGGCCAGGCGUGGGGGCUCACGCCUAUAAUCCCAGCACUUUGGGAGGCUGAGGCGGGCAGGUAGCUUGACCCCAGGAGUUUGAGACCAGCCUGAGCAACAUGGCGAAACACCGCCUCUACAAAUAAUUGAAAAAAUUAGCCGGGUGCGGCCAGGCGCGGCGGCUCACGCCUGUAAUUCCAGCACGUGGGAGGCCGAGGCGGGUGGAUCACAGGGUCAGGAGUUUGAGACCAGCCUGGCCAACAUGGUGAAACCCCAUCUCUACUAAAAAUACAAAAAUUAGCCGGGCGUGGUGGCACUCGUCUGUAGUCCCAGCUCCUCAGGAGGCUGAGAAGGGAGAAUCGCUUAAACCUAGGAGGUGGAGGUUGCAGUGAGCAGAGAUCAUGCCACUGCACUCCAGCCAGGGCGACAGAGCCUCCAGAGCGAGACUCCGUCUCAAAAAAAAAAAAAAUUAUCCGGGUGCUACUCGGGAAGCUACUGUAACCCCCAGCUACUCAGGAAGCUGAGGUGGGAAGAUCUCUGGAGCCUGGGCUGUUGAGGCUGCAGUGAGCUGAGAUUGCGCCACUGCAUUCCAGCCAGCCUGGGUGACAGACUGAGACCCUGUCUCAAAAAAAAAAAAAAAAAAAAAAAAAAAAAAGAAGAAAGAAAGAAAGAAAGAAGGAAAUGUUUGUUGAAUUAGAAUGUCAAUCUAGACCUUGACCCCACCAAGACAGAAGACAGGUGUAGUGCCCUCUGUUAUUUAGAAAAAUAAUCGUAGUAGCACUUUACAUUUGUAUAGUAUUUGUCUUUUCAAAGUACUUUAACAUCUAUUAUCAUAAUAAUAAAGAUAGGUAAAAAUAGGUUGCAUACAAUAGGUAAGUGCUAUUUUCCCAUUUGACAGGUUAAAAAAAAAAUGAGUCACGAAGAAAGUUGGCUAAAAUAUCAGAGUAAGGACUAAAGCCAAAAUCUCUAACCUACCCAUUUGUACAUCUUAAUUAGUAAGUAAAUAUUCUGUCUUAUGAUCAAACUUGCAGUUGAGAUAAUAGCUUAAUAGGUAAGUGUUCAGCCCUAGAGACAUAAUGUUCAGUUUCCAAACCCAGCUCCAGUACUUAACUUGCUGUGUGACCUGGCACAAGUUACCUAACUUCCCUGAGCUUCAGUUUCUCCAUGCUUAAAGUGUGAAUAAUAAUGCCUAUCUGAGGUGGUUGUAGUGAGGUUAUAAAGAGUAUAUUGCUAGGAGUGGUGGCUCAUGCCUGUAAUCCCAGCACUUUGGGAGCCCAAGGUGGGCGGAUCACCUGAGGUCCCGUGUUCAAGACCAACCUGACCAACAUGGAGAAACCUCGUUUCUACUAAAAAUACAAAAUUAGCCAGGUGCGGUGGCUC